rnacentral:rRNA from 1 species
AUGCAGCCUGCUGUUUUCAAGUCAUUUCUUCACUUCAUCUACACGGAUUCAAUGCCUUCCAUGGACGAGCUCGAGGAUGAUGACAAAAGAGAAAUGGUUAAGCACUUACUUGUGGCUGCAGAUAAGUAUGCCAUGGAAAGGAUGAAGAUGAUAUGUGAAGGCAUGCUAUGCAAGAGUCUUGAUGUUGAGAAUGUGGCGACCAUAUUAGCUCUAGCUGACCAGCACAAUUGCAGCAAUCUCAAAGAUGCUUGCAUUGAAUUUAUGCUCUCUUCGAAUAGAAUGAAUGAUGUGAUCGCAAGCCAAGGGUAUGUACAACUCAAGAGAUCUUCGCCUGAUAUCAUUGUAGAUGUGUUGGAGAGAGCAGCUAAGUCCCGCAAAAUUUAG